rnacentral:rRNA from 1 species
GAGUUUGAUCCUGGCUCAGAGCGAACGCUGGCGGCAGGCCUAACACAUGCAAGUCGAGCGGCCGUAGCAAUACGGCAGCGGCAGACGGGAGAGUAACACGUGGGAACGCGCCCUUCGGUUCGGAAUAACUCAGGGAAACUUGAGCUAAUACCGGAUACGCCCUUACGGGGAAAGAUUUAUUGCCGAAGGAACGGCCCGCGUCCGAUUAGCUUGUUGGUGAGGUAACGGCUCACCAAGGCGACGAUCGGUAGCUGGUCUGAGAGGAUGACCAGCCUCACUGGGACUGAGACACGGCCCAGACUCCUACGGGAGGCAGCAGUGGGAAUAUUGGACAAUGGGCGCAAGCCUGAUCCAGCCAUGCCGCGUGGGUGAUGAAGGCCCUAGGGUUGUAAAG